UACAGGGGGUGCAAACGUUGCUCGGAAUCAUUGGGCGUAAAGCGCACGUAGGCGGUCUGUUAUGUCGGAUGUGAAAGCCCUCAGCUCAACUGAGGACGUGCAUCCGAAACUGGCGAGCUUGAGUACUGAAGAGGAUCGCGGAAUUCCCGGUGUAGAGGUGAAAUUCGUAGAUAUCGGGAGGAACACCAGUGGCGAAGGCGGCGAUCUGGGCAGAUACUGACGCUGAGGUGCGAAAGCGUGGGGAGCAAACAGG
rnacentral:rRNA from 1 species